ACAUGGUCCACUCAUGAUGCGCCACGUGUUAGAGCCUAUCACCCACGUCUCUGGUAACUUCCCACUUUCUGCUUCCCACGAUCGGUCUCAUCGUGGUACGCUUUCCUUCAAAUUUAAAAGAAUCACCUCCUUCAUCGACAUAUCUUUCUUGAUUUGUCAGCUAACGUACAUGCAAAUGUGCACAUGCACGCACGCGCAUGUACACACACG
rnacentral:lncRNA from 1 species